GUGGGUAGUUUGACUGGGGCGGUCUCCUCCUAAAGAGUAACGGAGGAGCACGAAGGUUGGCUAAUCCUGGUCGGACAUCAGGAGGUUAGUGCAAUGGCAUAAGCCAGCUUGACUGCGAGCGUGACGGCGCGAGCAGGUGCGAAAGCAGGUCAUAGUGAUCCGGUGGUUCUGAAUGGAAGGGCCAUCGCUCAACGGAUAAAAGGUACUCCGGGGAUAACAGGCUGAUACCGCCCAAGAGUUCAUAUCGACGGCGGUGUUUGGCACCUCGAUGUCGGCUCAUCACAUCCUGGGGCUGAAGUAGGUCCCAAGGGUAUGGCUGUUCGCCAUUUAAAGUGGUACGCGAGCUGGGUUUAGAACGUCGUGAGACAGUUCGGUCCCUAUCUGCCGUGGGCGCUGGAGAACUGAGGGGGGCUGCUCCUAGUACGAGAGGACCGGAGUGGACGCAUCACUGGUGUUCGGGUUGUCAUGCC
rnacentral:rRNA from 4 species